UUAUGAUCUAGGUUUUUCUAAACCAGAGUAAGCAGGGACAUAAACACUCAAUAGAAGUGCAAGUUAAGGUUCGUGUUCUCCGCUCGUUUUGUUUGCUUCAUUGAACACUUUGAUUCUGUAUUUUCUCAGCUUUUGCAAUUACUAUUUGAGAAUUCUGUUUACGACUUUUUGUUUUUGGAGAUUCGUGUUUGGUUUAGAUUGAUGCUAAUUUACAUAUCUGUUUCCAUUAUAAUCUCUUUAUUUAUGCAGGGAUUCCUCUCUCAGUUGUUUGGUUUCUGCAAAUUCUUUUCCUUUUCAUUGUAACUUUCCUACCCACGAACAAAUUCAAUUCAAUUCAGUUCGCAGUUUUCACUAAUUACUUAUUAAUGAAUCCAAAAUGUUGUUGUUGUGGUCGUGUUUUAUGAGAAUUCAGUAAUCUUUAAGAACAAAUUUGUCGUUAUUGGGUUUUGUACAUUGAAACUGCAAUGUGUCUUUUUUAAUGAAGAAUUCAGAAUACAAUCGAUGGGUACCCUUAUUUUUUUAAUAUAAACUCAUGGGCUGUAUAUUUGUUUGGCUUCUUGUUCAGCAUAUAUUAGAUCGUUAUAAAGUAGAAGGUAUGGCUGGACAUAAUGAGUCUGGCAAGAAGAAAUCAAGUGAAGCUGCUAAUGAUUUACAGACAUUCAGUGCUGAAAAUUUGCAAAAUAACAUGAAAGUUAUAUAUUACAGGUUUGUUUGUUUCAACAGCUUAAGAGGUCUUGGCUUUUCUGAUGAAGAUUUUGAUUUUUGGUUGUUGAUUAGUAUGACAAGA
rnacentral:misc_RNA from 1 species